GAUGAACGCUGGCGGCGUGCCUAACACAUGCAAGUCGAGCGAUUCUCCUCGGAGAAGAGCGGCGGACGGGUGAGUAACGCGUGGGUAACCUGCCCUGUACACACGGAUAACAUACCGAAAGGUAUGCUAAUACGGGAUAAUAUGCUUUAGUCGCAUGGCUGAAGUAUCAAAGCUCCGGCGGUACAGGAUGGACCCGCGUCUGAUUAGCUAGUUGGUAAGGUAACGGCUUACCAAGGCGACGAUUAGUAGCCGACCUGAGAGGGUGAUCGGCCACAUUGGAACUGAGACACGGUCCAAACUCCUACGGGAGGCAGCAGUGGGGAAUAUUGCACAAUGGGCGAAAGCCUGAUGCAGCAACGCCGCGUGAGCGAUGAAGGCCUUCGGGUCGUAAAGCUCUGUCCUCAAGGAAGAUAAUGACGGUACUUGAGGAGGAAGCCCCGGCUAACUACGUGCCAGCCGCCGCAGUAA
rnacentral:rRNA from 1 species